rnacentral:rRNA from 1 species
UACGAAGGGUGCAAGCGUUACUCGGAAUUACUGGGCGUAAAGCGUGCGUAGGUGGUUCGUUAAGUCUGUCGUGAAAGCCCCGGGCUCAACCUGGGAAUGGCGAUGGAUACUGGCGGGCUAGAGUGCGGUAGAGGAGAGUGGAAUUCCCGGUGUAGCAGUGAAAUGCGUAGAGAUCGGGAGGAACAUCAGUUGCGAAGGCGGCUCUCUGGACCAGCACUGACACUGAGAGACGAAAGCUAGGGGAGCGAAUGGG